rnacentral:rRNA from 1 species
GUGGGGAAUCUUGCGCAAUGGGCGAAAGCCUGACGCAGCCAUGCCGCGUGAAUGAUGAAGGUCUUAGGAUUGUAAAAUUCUUUCACCGGGGACGAUAAUGACGGUACCCGGAGAAGAAGCUCCGGCUAACUUCGUGCCAGCAGCCGCGGUAAUACGAAGGGGGCUAGCGUUGCUCGGAAUUACUGGGCGUAAAGGGCGCGUAGGCGGACAGCUUAGUCAGAGGUGAAAGCCCAGGGCUCAACCUUGGAAUUGCCUUUGAUACUGGCUGUCUUGAGUUUGGGAGAGGUGAGUGGAACUCCGAGUGUAGAGGUGAAAUUCGUAGAUAUUCGCAAGAACACCAGUGGCGAAGGCGGCUCACUGGCCCGAUACUGACGCUGAGGCACGAAAGCGUGGGGAGCAAACAGGAUUAGAAACCCCGGUAGUCC